rnacentral:rRNA from 1 species
UAGGGAAUCUUCCGCAAUGGACGAAAGUCUGACGGAGCAACGCCGCGUGAGUGAAGAAGGAUUUCGGUUCGUAAAACUCUGUUGUUAGGGAAGAAAAAAUGUAUAGUAACUAUAUACAAAAGAGACGGUACCUAACCAGAAAGCCACGGCUAACUACGUGCCAGCAGCCGCGGUAAUACGUAGGUGGCAAGCGUUGUCCGGAAUUAUUGGGCGUAAAGCGCGCGCAGGUGGUUUAGAAAGUCUGAUGUGAAAGCCCACGGCUCAACCGUGGAGGGUCAUUGGAAACUAAUAAACUUGAGUGCAGGAGAGAAAUGUGGAAUUCCUAGUGUAGCGGUGAAAUGCGUAGAGAUUAGGAGGAACACCGGUGGCGAAAGCGGCUUUUUGGCCUGCAACUGACACUGAGGCGCGAAAGCGUGGGGAGCAAACAGG